GAAAACAAAAAUUCAAAAAAAAGUAGUCGACGGGAGCCGGCAUCGGAAUUCAGAAAUUGCACCGACAAUCACACCUUGAUUAUCUACAUUUUCCGGCAGCGAUCGGGCUCUCCGGACUAGUAGAGUUGUGAUUUUUGUUCAAAUAAGGAAAAAAUAUGGAGUCAAUGACUGAGCUAUGUGAUUUAAUCGCACAAAACCCAGCUCAAUUUGUGGAGAAAUUAGCAUGGAUAUGUGGUAGAUGUCCUCCUCCUGAAGCCCUACUUGUUGGAUCUCCUAGGGUUUCCAGGUCUCAACUCAAUGCAAUACUCGCUGUUGCACGAUUUCUAUCUAAAUGCCCUAGUCAUUCUGAUGAAAUGCCCAAAUCAAUCAUUCUUGCUUUCUAUCGUUCAAUUCCUUCAUCUUUUAACCAAUCUUUUUGGCCACAAUCUUUUACAAAUGACUCUA
rnacentral:misc_RNA from 1 species